GAUGAACGCUGGCGGCGUGCUUAACACAUGCAAGUCGAACGAUGAAGCCCAGCUUGCUGGGUGGAUUAGUGGCGAACGGGUGAGUAACACGUGAGUAACCUGCCCUUAACUCUGGGAUAAGCCUGGGAAACUGGGUCUAAUACCGGAUAGGAGCGUCCACCGCAUGGUGGGUGUUGGAAAGAUUUAUCGUUUUUGGAUGGACUCGCGGCCUAUCAGCUUGUUGGUGAGGGAAUGGCUCACCAAGGCGACGACGGGUAGCCGGCCUGAGAGGGUGACCGGCCACACUGGGACUGAGACACGGCCCAGACUCCUCCGGGAGGCAGCAGUGGGGAAUAUUGCACAAUGGGCGCAAGCCUGAUGCAGCGACGCCGCGUGAGGGAUGACGGCCUUCGGGUUGUAAACCUCUUUCAGUAGGGAAGAAGCGAAAGUGACGGUACCUGCAGAAGAAGCACCGGCUAACUACGUG
rnacentral:rRNA from 1 species